AUGACUUGACGAAUGAUCAUUGUAGAUACUCUGAAUCGAUGCAUAUGGUUUCGGGUUUAAGAUUGGCGGUCUUGAUUUCUGUCAAAACUUGUUUCUUCCUUAGAGUUCAUUAUGUAGCUCGAACAUUACACAUCAGGUGUUAUUUUUAUGCCACCAAUGCUGAGUUCUCCUCCCUUGCAGUCUGCUUAUAAUGGAAAGGGUGACAGAGGUGAUCCAUGGACUUGGCCAGAAGUGGAAGGGCCAUUAACGAUAAGAUAUUUCUAGACAAAAAGGCAGCAAGAUGGUGAGAGGAUGAACUUGCACUAGUUGAAAAAUCGAUUGUGUAUGUCUUUUCUAACCGAUAGAAGGGGCAUGGGCUAUAGAGAUGUUAAAGUCGCAAUGACUUGGUAGUAUAAAUACUGGCAACUACAAGGCAAGCAGAACCGAUGGGGUUAUUUAGUGGGUUAUCCUUUCUCAGAAGAUGCCUGACGAAAGGUUGACUCAGCUGUGGGCAUGGCUACGAUCUUUUGUGGAUUUGAUCAUCUCUUGCAGAUUCGAAUUUCGAUUUUCUUUUAUUCCAUCAAUGAUGUUAUGACUUCCGCUUGUCUUCUAGGCUGUUUUGUUUGAAGGUUGGAUGCUUGGAUUCAAACCCUUGCUAGCAAAUGUAGUCAAAGCUGUUGAUCCAAAGCUAGAGACUGUAAACAAGAAUCUUGAAGCUUAUUAUGAUGCGUGGGACAAAUUUGUCGAGGCAUGGAUAGUCAUCAAGAUUGAGGACACCAGUUGUGUCUACCAAUGGCGCUUGCAGGCUCGCAUCUCACCUUCCCUAUGACCACAUUAUGUUCUAUCGAAAUGUAGAAUCCCAUCUACAAAUUCACUGUGUUACUUAUUUUCUCUGUCAUGAUUUUAACUAUGUAUAAACCGUUUUGGCGAAAUCUUUUCAUACAGAAAUUGCCAUGAGAGAGGUCGGAAAUCCUGGGAUGUCUGAUGAGGAGGUUAAAGAUUUUGUCUCCCGUUACCUCCGAGCGUAUGAGGCUUAUCUCCCGACACUAUACUCUGAAGGACCAAAGGGGUCAGACCUUGAGCAUCUCCUCGUUAUCAAAAUUGAUGAAGGGAGAAACCCGUUAUAGGUAGCUAGGUGACUGAAACUUCCACUGAGAUUCUACUGAGAAUUUUCUUUUUUUCUUGAUUGUUGGGCCUGUUGAAUGGUCAGUUUUGUUUUAAUAACAUGCCAUCUUCUGUUGUUAGUCAUUGUAAAUUGUAUAUUCUAUAUGAAAUUUUGACAUGUAAAAAAACUCUGUCAUUCAGCUCCAAA